UUAAAGGUACUUUGGAGUGAUGUUGAAGUCGUUCUGGAGGAACAAUAUUUUAGCAAAAGAUGUGUUAAUCACUUACUGUCCUAUUUAUUAAGUGACAUGUUUUGAUGGCUGUGGUGCUCAUAAUUAAUAGUAGUAUUAGAACUCUGUUUCCAUGAGAGGGUUUUUUGUAACAAAAAUGCUCAUAUAAAGGCUGACUUUUCCUUAUGAAAGGUAAGAUCUGGCAAAUCCUUGUUCAAGCACUUGGGCUUUACUCUUUCAGUUCCUGGUAAAACCAUGCUUUUCUUCACAAUAGCUCAUGGAUGAGUGAACCCCUGGUCUCUGCUGGUUUUCUGAAAGGUUAUCUCAUGAGCCCUAGACAUAAGCAGCUUUUUCUCUUGCUCCUGCUGAGCUCAAGGGGAUAGUGAGUUCUUCUGCACUUCACUGAGUUGGAUAUUGAAAAGUUAUAAACACAAGUAGAUCCAUUAUCCAUUAUCAGUUAUCAGCUGAUAACUGCUCAACAUUUCUAAGUUCAACUUACUGAAUUGCCUAGGGAUUCUCAGUUUCAUGCAGAAAUUAGGCUGUGACUUUAUACAGUACAUAUAAUUUUAGCUUUUAAUGUACCAAACUGUUUAUAUUUUCAACAUUACUGAAGUAACUCACAUUCUUAGUAGUUUUACUAAAUUUCUGGAUAAAGUUUUCAUGAUUGUCUGCAUGGCUUGAGUCAGUUCAGUGCUUUUGAGUAGACCAUCUGUAAUGAAAAAUAUGUGUUUUAUUUAUUCUAAGAUUAUGUAAUGAUACCAUUAAGAGCUUUUGAAGAUGUUUUCUAUGGAAUCCUUUUAUGACAUUUGCAGUCAUUGGUGCUCAGGUUUUUUUGAAAUUCUGUCAGUCUCUGUGAAACUAGUCAUAGUCCUACAUCAAGGUUCAUGUCACUGCUUUUCUAGAACUUUUAACCAGCUGCAUUUAGAAUAGUAAAUAUCAGGAUCAUCCUCAACUGCUUCAUAUUUUAUUCAGUCAUUGCUCUUUGAUGCUUUUAAUCAUAGUCACAUUUGUUGAAGAGAUCGCCACAGGAGAGAGUAGAAUAUCAUGCUACUUGGAGUCUCAUGUUGGAAGACUUAGGGAAUAAAGUAAGGGGGUUUGGCACUAGUGUCACAUCACAUACCAAACCCAACUCAUAGAUGCAAAGUGAAAAGACUAGCUGAAAUCUUAAUUUAUCACUGCAUAGUCUUUACUUACACCUUUUUCAUGCAAGAAAAUCUCUGAAAAUAUGUCUGCUGAGAUUAGAGAGGGGAUUUAUUUACAAUUUUAAAGAAUAUACUUAAAAAAAAAUCAUUGCUCAUUUGAGAUGUGUGCAUUGAACAGGAUGUGCUUUCAUGUCUCAUUUGUGGAAUUUUAGCCUUGUUCUUGAACCUAAUGACACUGCUGAAAAAGCUGUAGGGCUUCAUUGUCUACUGAGGCUGGUAGAGUCUGUGUACUUAGGGUGUGAUAAAGUUCAUUUUGAUGUGGUUAAGAUGUUCUGUUUCUGCACAAUUUUAGAAAGAGAACUAUCUCCAAAAAAGAAAAAGAAAAAUGGCAAGCGGAUAAAGCAAAAGAAGAAUUGUUUUGAGCUAAAGAUCCUCUCUGGGAUUUUAGGAAUGUUGAGACGUGCUGGUUAUAAAGCCCUAAGUACAAAAUGGUCACGGAUGGCUGGAAUGAGGCAUGUUCUAAUGGAAACAAAUCACUUGUCAGUAAGCAGCCUUCAAACUUUUGAACAAAAGCUCAAAAGGGUCAGGGAAAAGACAUGUUUGUUGAUUUAAAAUGGCUGGAUGCAGGUCAUCAGGAAGGCAUAGGCUUCAAUAUUCUUGAGGUAACUCUUCAGUUCUGUGAGCUUUAAACAAGGUUAAAUACUUUGAUGGCAACCACAAAUGGAAUGAGGAACCUAAAUUAAACAGAAAGCUCACACAUUAUAAAGUGAAGUGUGCAUAAUUCCGAAAUGUAAAGCAUGUACACCACUGCAAAACAGCCAUAGAAUGGAGCUCAGCUGUGGGAACUACAUUUAGGUAUACAGACAUGGCUGUUUGUGAUGAAGACUAUGCUGUAUCUACUGAGAUUUAGAAGGGUAACCAGUGUUCCUGUGGAUGUCUGCGAUUCAUUGAUAUUUUAGUUAAAAUAGCGUAAAUUAACUUUAUAGUGAUUUGAUGAUAAAUCCGAAUGCCAACUCUGUUUAUUCACAUUUCUGUAGGUAUUAACUCUAAGUACAAUUCUUCAUAGCAGUAGUUAAUUUCUUAUAUUUGCUUGCAAAACCCAUAAUGAGGUUCAUGACCCCUAGAACAACUAUAAUGAGGGAUCAUCUCUUCUUUUUCCUGUGUAAUAUUUUGUGUUGCUCUGUGAAACGAAAAAUGUUGCUGUAUAAUAAAUUGUAUAAGGUG